UGCUACUCAACUCUCAAGCCUGUGGCCUGUGGAAGGCAGAGCCAGCUGGUUCUCCCAAUAAUAUGACAGGAGUGCAUUAUUUUCCAUGUGGAGAUUCAGUGUACUGCGACAGCGGGUGGAAUUUUCUUGUCUGUUUUUCGACCAUAUUAGUCUAGUCAAAGAUUACUCUGUAUGGUCUGUAUCCUCUCAGGCCUUUGGAAGUGAGAAGCUUCCGCAGAGAAAAGCACUCCAUCGAUUUGGGAAAUACAAGUCAAUUUUCGGCGCGACGCCGGUGGAGGCAGUGCAUCCUAUUCAACACUGAUAUGGAUUUACUGCCUCAAGGAGUGCAGGUCCACUCAAAACUCUCUGGUCUGGUGGAGCAUGGCACUGCCGCACCGGUGACUGAAGUGAUGCGUGGCACAUCCAUAUUGCCAGGUUUUGUUUUGAUUGUAGAACUCCUGUAAUUUGGUUGAUUACCUCACUGGAACUUUUUACACCACACUAGGAAAAACGUGAAACUGUGGACAGAAAAAAGAGCACAAGACAUGCAGAAUGUAUGCUUUCAUGUAGUAUUUUUUUUUUUAAAUGGAUAGCUCAUUUUUUGUAAGAUGUUUGGACAAAAGUAAACUUCAUGACUCGUUCUUCUGUU